AGGACGAACGCUGGCGGCGUGCUUCACACAUGCAAGUCGAACGGGGCUCAUUCGGUGGUAACACCGGAGAAGGCCUAGUGGCGAACGGGUGCGUAACACGUGAAGAACCUGCCCCGAAGACUGGGAUAACAGCGGGAAACCGCUGCUAAUACCGGAUGACCCCACCAGGCCGCAUGGCCAGGUGAGGAAAUGGGCCUACCGCUUCGGGAGGGCUUCGCGGCCUAUCAGCUUGUUGGUGGGGUAACGGCCUACCAAGGCUACGACGGGUAGCUGGUCUGAGAGGACGACCAGCCACACUGGGACUGAGACACGGCCCAGACUCCUACGGGAGGCAGCAGUGGGGAAUCUUGCGCAAUGGGCGAAAGCCUGACGCAGCAACGCCGCGUGAGGGAUGAAGGUCUUCGGGUUGUAAACCUCUUUCGAGCAGGAACGAUUGUGACGGUACCUGCAGAAGAAGCUCCGGCCAACUACGUGCCAGCAGCCGCGGUGAUACGUAGGGAGCGAGCGUUGUCCGGAUUCAUUGGGCGUAAAGAGCUCGUAGGCGGCUCAGUAAGUCAGGUGUGAAAUCCUCAGGCUCAACCUGGGGCUGCCAUCUGAUACUGCUGUGGCUAGAGCCCGGUAGGGGUCCACGGAAUUCCUGGUGUAGCGGUGAAAUGCGCAGAUAUCAGGAGGAACACCAGUGGCGAAAGCGGUGGACUGGGCCGGUACUGACGCUGAGGAGCGAAAGCGUGGGGAGCGAACAGGAUUAGAUACCCUGGUAGUCCACGCCGUAAACGUUGGGCACUAGGUGUGGGACCUUGUCAACGGGUUCCGUGCCGUAGCUAACGCAUUAAGUGCCCCGCCUGGGGAGUACGGCCGCAAGGCUAAA
rnacentral:rRNA from 1 species